AGAAAGGUUGAAGUUGGAAGAAGAUCCUGGAGGUCAUCUUGUCCAACACCCUUGAUCAAGCAGGGUCAUCUACAGUCAGGACCAUGCCCAAGCAACUUUUGAAUAUCUCCAGAAAGGGAUAAUCCACAACCUCUCUGGGCAACAUGUGCCGGUGAUCAGGUAAACUGACAGAAUCAGAAUCAGAAUGACCUUCCAAUGACUUCUAGCCUGCAUUUGGAAAUAAACAGUUCUCUGGAGCUGACCAAUGGCACUAUGGGACAUCUGCUUGAAGGUUUUAAAUUCUGGAAAUAAUAUACAAUCUGUUAAAGAAAUAGUUUUGUGUUUAUCCUAUGGAACACUUCCAGAAGAGGUUUCCCAGUUCCAACAGAACUUCUAAGGCACAGGAGUAUUUUCUGAUCUCAGAAUAUGUAUCCACAUAUGAAAAUGGAAGCAGAACUUGAUGAAGCCUGGUUGGAAACAGGAAUUACCAAGAAUCUAACGCAGAAGGCUUCCUAAUCUUCUAUCCUAAUACUACAAAGCUAAAAAAAAUAAUUAAAGUCCGGUAACCAUAAGAAAUUCUUUGUGCUAAGUUCAUGCAAAUCUCUUCUAUCUGGAGAGUCACCAAGUAGUUCUCAUGUUUGUUUCAUUUGUAUGUUAAAAAAAAAAAAAGCUAUGAAUUUGAAUUAAAAAAAUUCUAACUUUGAAGUAAUUUAUGAGUUUGGCACCAAGUUCCCAUGCCAGUCUAUUAAAGGCCUUAUAUAUAAAGCAGUACUAUGUGUGGCUUCUUGUGAACU